ACUCAAAGGAAUAGACGGGGGCCCGCACAAGCGGCGGAGCAUGCGGAUUAAUUCGAUGCAACGCGAAGAACCUUACCUGGGUUUGACAUACGCCGGAAACAUCCAGAGAUGGGUGCCCUUUUAGUCGGUGUACAGGUGGUGCAUGGCUGUCGUCAGCUCGUGUCGUGAGAUGUUGGGUUAAGUCCCGCAACGAGCGCAACCCUCGUCCUAUGUUGCCAGCGCGCCUUCGGGUGGCGGGGACUCAUAGGAGACUGCCGGGGUCAACUCGGAGGAAGGUGGGGAUGACGUCAAGUCAUCAUGCCCCUUAUGUCCAGGGCUUAACGCAUGCUACAAUGGCCGGUACAAAGGGCUGCGAUGCCGCAAGGCGGAGCGAAUCCCAAAAAGCCGGUCUCAGUUCGGAUUGGGGUCUGCAACUCGACCCCAUGAAGUCGGAGUCGCUAGUAAUCGCAGAUCAGCAACGCUGCGGUGAAUACGUUCCCGGGCCUUGCACACACCGCCCGU
rnacentral:rRNA from 1 species